UACGGAGGGUGCGAGCGUUGUCCGGAAUCACUGGGCGUAAAGGGCGCGUAGGUGGCCUGUGGAAGUCUGCGGUGAAAGCCCGGCGCUCAACGCCGGGUCGGCCGUGGAUACUCUCGGGCUUGAGCUUACUAGAGGCAGAUGGAAUUCCGGGUGUAGCGGUGGAAUGCGUAGAGAUCCGGAAGAACACCGGUGGCGAAGGCGGUCUGCUGGGGUAAUGCUGGACACUGAUGCGCGGACAGCGUGGGGAGCAAACAGG
rnacentral:rRNA from 1 species